rnacentral:lncRNA from 10 species
UAAAAAUCCAGCACAGUUCAUGGCUCGUUUGGCAGCAACUCUGAGACGCUUUACAGCCCUAGACCCUAGAAGGUCAAAAGGCCGUCUUAUUGUCAAUAUACAUUUUAUUAUCCAAUCCACUCCUGACGUUAAAUAAAACUCCAAAAUUAAAUUCCGGCCCUCAAACCCCACAACAGGACUUAAUUAACCUCACCUUCAAGGUGUACAAUAAUAGAGUAGAGGCAGCCAAGUAGCAAUGUAUUUCUGAGUUGCAAUUACUUGCCUCCACUGUGAGACAAACCCCAGCCACAUCUCCAGCACACAAAAACUUCCAAACGCCUGAACCGCAGCAGCCAGGCGUUCUUCCAGAACCUCCUCCCCCAGGAGCUUGCUACAAGUGCCAGAAAUUUGGCCAACAGGCCAAGGAAUGCCCGCAGCCCGGGAUUCCUCCUAAGCCGUGUCCCAUCUGUGCGGGACCCCACUGGAAAUCAGACUGUUCAACUCAAUUGGCAACCACUCCCAGAGCCCCUGGAAUUCUGGCCCAAGGCUCUCUGGCUGACUCCUUCCCAGAUCUUCUUGGCUUAGCAGCUGAAGACUGACACUGCCCAAUCACCUCAGAAGCCUACAGGACCAUCACAGAUGCUCUAGGUAACUCUCACAGCGGAGGAAGACAGGAAUGUGAGGCCUCUGAGCACAAGCUAAGCCAUCUUAUCCCCUGUGACCUGCACGUACACAUCCAGAUGGCCGGUUCCUGCCUUAACUGAUGACAUUCCACCACAAAAGAAGUGAAAAUGGCCUGUUCCUGCCUUAACCGAUGACAUUGUCUUGUGAAAUUCCUUCUCCUGGCUCAUCCUGGCUCAAAAGCUCCCUCACUCCUUGUGACCCCCACUCCUGCCCACAAGAGAACAACCCCCUUUGACUGUAAUUUUCCUUUAUCUACCCAAAUCCUAUAAAAUGGCCCCACCCUUAUCUCCCUUCCCUGACUCUCUUUUCAGACUCAGCCCGCUUGCACCCAGAUGAUUAAAAGCUUUAUUGCUCACACAAAGCCUGUUUGGUGGUCUCUUCACAAGGACGCGAAUGAAAGUAAAAUAACCAUUAGAUACAAAUGAAAGAUACAACAUUUAUUCCCUCUUGGAAUGUAUGAUGUAGAACACUUAAAAUUUGGACACAUGCCUGAAAACUACCUGCAGAUGAAACAGAAGCUACCUCAGAGAGACUCAGGAACUGCACAUUUCAAGAGACAUGCUCUUUUCUGGUUUCAGUUCCUCCCUCUAGGAUCAAUAUUUCUAGUAACCCUGCACCUAGGUCUGGAUGCAAAAUAAGAUGAGAAAUCUAUUUGCCUAAACCCUGUCAGAAUUCUACUACUUAUUCUGUUCACAGAAAGCAUAAAUGUCAUUUUUAUUAUUACUGUUUGCAUUGUAUUGAUAUAAAUUAUUCUUUAAAAGUUAUAUAUCUACAAUUAAGACACAGAAUGAAAACUUAUGUGACUAUUGUUAACAAAAUCAUUUCAGAAUACUGAUAACAUACCCUCUUCAGUGUUGUCAUAUUUGUUUUCAAAACUAACAAGUAUAUUUAUUAAAUGAAGAUUUUCUUAUAUACUGUCAUUUUAAAAAUUAUUUUCAUUGCCAUGUACUAACACUUAAAUCUAUAAUCAGCUGUGAGACCAUAUGUAAAACAGUGAAAGAAAAAUGAAACUCAAAUAACAGUAUAAAAUACUAUAAAUCAUGCAUAGUAAACACUUAUACAGUAAUCUCUUUAUCAAUAUCCAAGGCUCUGAGACUUAUUUAUUCUCUUAUUCUUAGAGAAACAUCUCAAAUUUGAUUUAUUUAUGUUAUUUCAAUUAAUAGGGAAGAGCUGACAAAUACUUUCUACAGUAAGUCCCAAAGAUCUGUUAAGAAAAAUAAUCCAGACAUGAAAAUAAAGCAGAAAAUUGCUGUGUGUCCAUUUAACAUUAUAGCAUUGUAUAACAGGCCCACUCAGUACUAUUUAAUUCACUGGGGAAUGGACCUUUAACUUGCUAUUUACUAUUAAUUUAUGCCCCAAAUUUGUAAAGGUUAGUAUUAACUUGUAUAAUGUUGCCCAGAGGAGAAGCAAAUGAUUUCUGUCUGAUAGAAAAGAUAAACACAAAAUGUACAGUUAUAUUGACCUAUUGGACAUGAAACAGUUUUGUUUCUAACUUACCAAAUUUAUUUCAGCAUGACUUUUCUAAGUAGCUAUAAAAUUUCUUCUGCUUCAAAUGCUCUGAAUCAACGUUACUAUUCUACUGGAUUCCUCAUUAAUUAGUUGAAUAUAUCUUUGAUAUGUGUUCACUGUAUAUCUGUAUGAGAGUCAUGAUUUUAGCAAUGAAAAUUAUACCUUGACAGUUUUGGAGAUUCCAAAGAAACGUUCAAGUAGACUCUUUUGCUUGAGGCAAUUAAACUUUAUGUCUAAAGAAA